UGGUCAGGAGGUAAAACUGGAUCAAAUCAAGAACAGGUUCCUGCCUUGAAGAUUUAGAAAUCUGAAAAGCAAGGAAAAAAGUGUGUGAGGUUCUGUCCUGCCUGGCCUUUUAAGCACUUCUAAGCAGUUCCAACCAGGAAGUUUCUGUUCUUCAUUUAAAUUUGCAUCAGCAGAGGCAGAAUGAGCAGAGAUUAAGUCUAAGUCUGGUGAAAACCCACAAAAGAAUAAUUUUUCGUGGAGGAGUGUAGGGGUGGAUCUGAUUGUGGAGACUGCAGGUGCUUGAAUUAAGUCUUCAACAGAGAUGACUCUGCUCACUUGGGAUUCACAACCACAAAUCCUCUAAUGAGGGUUGACACCCACAUAUGUUCUUUGAAGACACGUUUAUGCUGCUAAUUAAAAAGGGGCCAUGAGACAACCCCUGGCCUCAAAGCCAAAUGGCACAAACUGGCUCAUGGCUGCACAGCUGAGGCUUCUUCUGGAACUAAAUUUAUCUUGGAGAGUUUCCUGAAGCAGCCUGAAAGGGAAACAGGAUAUGAACUAAAAUUUAAAUAUUGUGCAUUAUUUGUGGGCCUGCUGCUUAAUCCAAAUCCUGUCUCAUAUUUAUCUGUAAAGAUGUGUCUUGUGAAACCUGGACAGAACUACCACCCUUAAAAGAUCCUCCAAGACAACAACCCUCUAUGCAGCCAUCAAUGGUUGUAAUGUUUCCUGAAGAAGUGGUAGACCUAUUUUAUAGGUUCUAAAGGAGCGCCACUGCCAUGAAGUUCCCUCAACCUCUCCUGUUAAACUGGACAGAAAAGACUACUGGAAGCUUCAGGCCAGACAGAGAGAAUAACUUUGCAUAACUUUGAAUGCUAAUAA